GGAGUCUGGACCGUGUCUCAGUUCCAGUGUGGGGGACCUUCCUCUCAGAACCCCUAGACAUCGUAGCCUCGGUGGGCCGUUACCCCGCCGACUAGCUAAUGUCUCGCGAGCCAAUCCGUAUCCGACGAAUCUUUCAAACAAAAAGAUGUCUUCUCUGUUGUUAUGCGGUAUUAGACGACGUUUCCAUCGCUUAUCCCCCUGAUACGGGUAUGUUGCUCACGCGUUACGCACCCUUGCGCCGGUCGCCGCCAGAAGUAUUGCUACCUCCGCGCUGCCCCUCGACUUGCAUGUGUUAAGCCUGCCGCUAGCGUUCAUC
rnacentral:rRNA from 1 species